rnacentral:rRNA from 1 species
GCGGAGUGCACUUGAGGGCAACAGGCACCUGAAGAAUCUAAAACGACUCUCGGCAACGGAUAUCUCGGCUCUCGCAUCGAUGAAGAACGUAGCGAACUGCGAUACUUGGUGUGAAUUGCAGAAUCCCGUGAACCAUCGAGUCUUUGAACGCAAGUUGCGCCCGAA